ACUCGGGUGAUGCUCCUUCUUGGUAAAUCGCUUGAUGGCUCAAGCUGCCUCUUCCCAGCAGGCUCCAGGGCAGAUUUCCAGUCACUUCCCUUUACAAGCACCCCUUUCCCCGGCUCCUUCAGGACAUGGAGUUGACAUUUCUUCUCUGUAAUUAUUUUUUAGUUGACAGACAUGGUUGUUCAAGAAUAAACAAAAAUUUAUUUUUAAACAAGAUUUAUUUAUUUAUCAAAUCAGUGGGGAAAGAGAAAGAGAGACCAUGAAGCAGAGCAUCACUCCAUCACAUGCAGUGCCAAGGACAGAACCCGGGACCUCAUUCUUCUGCUGCUUCAUCUUCGUGUGGCUCCGUGAUGAAUUUCAAAGCAGGCUCUCCUGUGCUUCCUGGGAGGGGUAAGCGCCCGCCGUGUGCCCCAGUGCUGCUCCUCCACCAAGGUCGGCAUGCAGACGAGCUCGGCCCAUGGAGACUCGCAGGGCUCACUGGCCCUGGGACCGGCACCACUCACGUUCUGAAAGCUCCACGGGCAGCACUGCGCGUUUGCACUUAUUUGGAAGCUGUGAGCCUUCUGACUGAAGUCGUCUGCCAUUUACCUCCUCAUCCCCAGCAGCAGCUGCAAAAGUUCUUGCACAUAGAGAAUAGAACAAAAGCUACACAUGUUUAUCUGGAACCAGAUAAGACCUAGAAUUGCCAAUACUAUCUUGAGAAGAAAGAAUAGAGCUGGAGGCAUCACACUCCCAGAUCUCAAAUUGUAUUGUAGGGCUAUUGUGAUCAAAACUGCUUGUUACUGGAACAUGAAUAGACACGAUGACCAGUGGAAUGGAAUUGAGAGCCCAGAAGUAAGCCCCCACACCUAUGGACAUAUAAUCUUUGACAAAGGUGCCCAGACUAUUAGAUGGGUAAAGCAGAGUCUUUUCAACAAAUGGUGUUGGAAAAAAAAAAUGGGUUGAAACAUGUAGAAGAAUGAAGCUGAACCACUAUAUUUCACCAAACACAAAAGUAAAUUCCAAGUGGAUUAAGGACUUGGAUGUUACACCAGAAACUGUCAGAUACUUAGAGGAAAAUAUUGGCAGAAUUCUCUUCUGCAUAAAUUUUAAAGGAAUCUUCAAUGAUACAAAUCCAAUUAUGAAAAAGACUACAACAAAAAUAAACCAGUAGGGCUACAUGAAAUUAAAAAGCUUCUGCAUAGCAAAAGAAAGCACCACCCAAACACAGAGUAGGAGAAGAUCAUUGCAUGCCAGACAUCAGACAAGAGGCUAAUACCCAAAAUAUAUAAGACGUUCACCAAACUCAGCAACAAGAAAACAAAUGACCCCAUCCAGAAAUGGGGAGAAGACAUGGACAGAAUAUUCACCACAGAAGAGAUCCAAAAGGCCAACAGACGUAUGAGAAAAUGCUCCACGUCAUUGAUUGUCAGAGAAAUGCAAAUAAAGACAACAGUGAGCUACCACUUCACUCUUGUGAGAAAGUCACACAUCAGAAAAGGUAGCAGCAGCAAAUGCUGGAGAGGUUGUGGGGACAAAAGGACCCUCCUGCACUGCUGGUAGCAAUGUCAAUUGGUCCAACCUCUGUGGAGAGCAGUCUAGAGAACUCUCACAAGGCUAGAAGUGGACCUACCCUAUGACCCUGCAAUUUCUCUACUGGGGAUAUAUCCUAAGCAACAAACACACCCAUCCAAAAAGAUUUAUGUAUACUCAUGUUCAUAGCAGCACAAUAUGUAAUAGCCCAAAUCUGAAAGCAGCCCAGGUGUCCAACAACAGAUGAGUGGCUGAGCAAGCUGUGGUCUCUAUGCACAAUGUAAUACUACUCAGCUUUUAAAAAUGGUGAAUUCACCUUCUUCACCCCAUCUUAGAUGGUGCUUGAAGGAAUCAUGUUAAGUAACAUCAGUCAGAAAGAGAAGAAUGAAAAUGGGACGAUCCCACUCAUAGAAGUUGAAAAACAAGAUCUGAAGGGAAAACACAAAGCAGAAUUUGGGCUGGAGUUGGUGUAUUGCACCAAAGCAAAAGACUCAGGGGUAGGUGGGGGGGGGGGGGUUUCAGGUCCUGGAUCAUGGUGGCAAAGAGGACCUUGAGGGGGUGGAAUUGUUAUGUGGAAAACUGGGAAAUGUUACACAUGUGCAAACUAUUGUGUUUUACUGUCAACUGUAAACCAUUAAUCCCUCAAUAAAGAAAUAAUAAUAAUGGAACUCGGGUAAUCGCAGUUCACUCAUCCCAAGUGUCUGCAGCAGAAGUGGGACCUAUGGGAUGAUCUCACUCUCAGGCCGAAGUUGAAAAACAAGAUUAGAAAAGAAAACACAAGUCGAACCUGAAAUGGAAUUAGAGUAUUACACCAAAGUAAAAG